rnacentral:misc_RNA from 1 species
UCCGGUUUGUCACCGGCAGUCUCAUUAGAGUGCCCAACUGAAUGUAGCAACUAAUGACAAGGGUUGCGCUCGUUGCGGGACUUAACCCAACAUCUCACGACACGAGCUGACGACAGCCAUGCACCACCUGUGCAGGGCCCCGAAGGACACCGAUGUUUCCACCGGCUUUCCCGUGCAUGUCAAGCCCAGGUAAGGUUCUUCGCGUCGCGUCGAAUUAAACCACAUGCUCCGCUGCUUGUGCGGGUCCCCGUCAAUUCCUUUGAGUUUUAGCCUUGCGGCCGUACUCCCCAGGCGGGGUGCUUAAUGCGUUAGCUGCGGCACGGACGGAGUCGACACCGCCCACACCUAGCACCCAUCGUUUACGGCGUGGACUAC